rnacentral:lncRNA from 1 species
UGUCUCUUGUAUUCUAGUAGACCAGACAAAGUAAUCUACACAAUGUAUUUUAACUGCCAGUGCCAGCGACUCAGUAGUCAAAUAUCUUACAUAUAAGGUGAAGACAGUGACUCGGGAUACCAAAGCAUGCCCAUAUUUCAUCGCAUUGACGAAGGUAAGGCAGCAAAAAAUGGCCUUGUCUCCAGCUCUGCCCUGAUGUAUGAUAGGCUUCACUACGCUUCUGCUUAAUCCUAGGCUCAGUCUCUAGCUCCACUUCCAUCGCACUGUCGCUCCGCUGUUAAGAUCUGAAACAAAAAAGUAACCCAAUCAACGCCUAGCACUGGGUGGUGAGUUAUAACAUACUUUUCUGCUUGUUCGUACAUAAGAAUAAUAUGAUCUGUGCAGCUACAACUAUGACAUGAAGAAUCAAGGAGAAAAAGAAUGAAUCAUGUCCAUGUUAAUUAGCGAGCAGUCUGAUGUCUAUCAAGUUUGCAACAUGUACAUGAUAAAAGAUUUAUAGGCAAACACCACAACACAAGAUGUAAAUUAGCUCUCUCGCAAGUUACCUCAAAGAUAAAUAUCAGCUAAAUUAAUAUGGCCACUCACUCUUAACUCGCUUAUCCAUGUAUAAAAACAUCUCCUGUUCAUAGCUCACACCGGAGAACUCCUCUGCCCUAAACUGCUAGGCUCCUCCUGGUACACUAAUAACACCGUGGGGGCGCCCAAGCCCUAAAUGUGUGGAUAAGUGUGGCAUUGUUGUGGUGCAAACAUGGUCAGAAAGCAAGUGGAACACCUACAGUCAAUUUGGUGUAGUUGUGCCUAUUCAUACAAAUCCAAAAUGAAAGUCUGUUAUGAGCACCAUAAAGAUAAAAAUCAUCCAUAGCAUUUCAGUGCAUAGUUGCACACUCUUAAAGACAAAAGUUAGUUUCAUACAGUGCAUUACCUAGGAACACCAUUUGGUGUACUGAGCAUAAUAAUUCCAAUUUAUUCUAUGGCUAUGAAAUGCCUAAAAGUGAGAUUGUGACAUGAAAGCAAGCACUCAGCAAGGUGAUGCCAGUGGCAAGCUCUCUCUGCCACUCCAUUGUUGGAGCUUAACUCUUCGAAGCAGCAAAAUGAGCAAUCUCAAGUUCUCAAUGAGCAGGAUAGCAACAUUUAAGGUGUAGUUGUGCCUAUUCAUAUGCCUGGCAUUCACACCAUGUUCACUUCGGCAUUGAAUCCUAAAUUGAUCAAAUUUUAACAUGUAUCAAUUCUUUGCCCUGGUUAUUGAGUAACAUUUCUCAUGAUUCACCAUUUCUGAUGUAAUUAGAGAACUGUUGGUACGGGAGGGGAGUGCCUUCAGACGGGAUUCCUUCUCGUGUCUGGUGGCUCGCGUGGUUCACUCUUUUUGUGGCGGCUCUCACGGGACAGAGGAGGGGCAUCUCUUCUAGGUCAAAUCCACUCAUGGGCUUGGGCCCAACAGACAUAUCAAGAUGGGCUAGGGCCCAUACCGGCAAGGUUUUUGAGUCGCGACUUGGCGAGUCGCCGCGAGCCCUGCGGCUCGGCGUAUAGUCGACGAAAGUCGCUGUAUAGUCGCGAUAAGUCGCUGUAUAGUCGCAAGUCGCCCUGAUUUUUGGAAAACGACUUGGCGAUUAGUCGGCGACUAUACAGCGACUAAUCAGCGACUCAAAAACCAUGCAUACUGGUUCAACACUCCCCCUCAAGAUGGGUGGUAGAUAUCUACCAUCCCCAUCUUGUCACACGCCAAGUUACAGUCCUUUGUUCCCAGUCCCUUUGUCAAGCAGUCUGCAAAUUGCUGCCCAGAGCUGACAUGUGUAAGGCUGAUGAUCCCAGCAUCAAGUUUCUCUUUAAUGAAGACGCGAUCAAUUUCCACAUGCUUCGUCCUAUCAUGUUGAAUUGGGUUAUUAGCAAUGGCUAUAGCUGACUGAUUGUCACACCACACCCUCAAGGGUCCCUUACUCAGAAGUUUCAACUCGCACAGCAGGUGCUUCACCCAGAGCAUAUCACACAACCCUUGAGCUAAUGCUCUAUACUCAGCUUCUGCUGUUGAUCUAGACACAACAGUCUGUUUCUUGUUUCUCCAUGACACCAAAUUUCCUCCCACAAACACACAGUAGCCUGAAGUUGAUCUUCUAUCAUCUUGACAGCUAGCCCAAUCAGAGUCACUAUAGCCAUCCACCUCAAGAUGUCCACUCUUCACAAACCACCACCCUUUACCCAGAGUCCCCUUCAAGUAUCUCAGGAUUCUGUGAACAAUAUCAAGAUGUCCACUACUUGGUUCAUGCAUGUAUCUACUCACAACCCCCACGCGCGUACGUAAUGUCAGGCCUUGUAUGACACAAGUACAAUAACCUCCCAACCAGCUUAUGAUAAUCUUCCUUAUUCACUAGCUCACCUGAUUGUGCUGUCACUUGAUGAUUUUGUUCAAUCGGAGUAGGGGCUGCACGACAUCCCAUCAUGCCCAUGUCACUCAAGAGAUCCAAGGUGCAUUUUCGUUGGCACAAAGAUAUUCCCUUCUCUGUCCGAGCCACUUCUAUGCCAAGGAAGUACUUUAGAUUGCCCAAGUCUUUUACCUCAAACUCCUUGCUUAGACAGCCUUUCAAUCUCUCUAUUUCCUCCUUAUCAUCUCCAGUGAUGAUAAUGUCAUCCACAUAAACAGCAAGAAUGGUGAUCUUCAUAUCAAAGUGCCUGUAGAACAUCGUGUGGUCACCGUUACACUGACCAUACCCCAUGCCACGGACAGCAUGUCUGAACCUAUCAAACCAUGCCCUCGGUGAUUGCUUCAGUCCAUACAAGGAUUUCUUCAGCCUGCAUACCUUCUCCGUGGUCUCUGAAGUACCAAAACCUGGUGGUAUCUUCAUGUACACUUCUUCCUGCAACUCACCAUGCAAGAAGGCAUUCUUGACAUCUAAUUGAUGCAAUUUCCACCCAAAGUUUGCAGCACAGGAGACCAAUAUCCUUACCAUGUUCAUCUUUGCCACGGGAGCAAACGUCUCAUCAUAGUCAAUUCCAUAAGUUUGACUAUAUCCUCUGGCGACCAAUCUGGCCUUAUACUGUUCCACCUUCCCUUCGGGAUUCUGCUUCACUGUAUAGAUCCACUUACAACUCACUGCUUUCUUUUCUGCCGGCAAUGUGGUUAGCACCCAGGUCUUGUUUUUUCUCAGUGCUUCCAACUCCUCUAUCAUCGCUUCACGCCACUUCGGAUCUUGCUUUGCGGCCCUCCAAUCCUUUGGGAUUGACACAGUUUGAAGAGACGCAACAAACACUCUAUAGGAAGGAGACAAAGCCUCAUAAGACACAUAAUUUCCAAUGUCAUGAUCAUCAAAAACCUCCGGUGGUAAAGCCUUCUGUGUUGCUUCACGUGUCCCCUUUCGCAAUGCAAUAGGCAGUUCCACUGUGUCAGAUGAGCUUGCACCACUGCGUUGCUGCUCCCCAGGCACUGAUUGCUCCCCCUGCACUUGUGGUUGCCGCCGGGAAUAUACCAGACGAGUCAUGCACUUGUGGCACUUGUGGCUGUCGUCGAGAGUACACUAGGGGAGUCUUCUGCCACCGAUCUCGAACAGGGAGCUGGAGAUUACCAAUCUGAAUGGAACCCAUUGGUGCCUGGACCUGAACCUGCACAUCACCAUCAGUGAGAGUACCAACUGGAAUUGUACCCACAAUUGGCUGGACUUGAACCCGCACAUCAUCAUUAGUGUUGGUGUCCACAGAACCCUCCUGAGUGCGAGAUACAGCCUUCUCCCCCUCUUGACCAUCCUGCACAGAGUGUGAAUGGUCAAGCCCUUGAAGCAACACACUUAGAUCUGUGGGCUCACCAUAGAAUGGCUCAGACUCCCUGAAGGUGACAUCCAUACUGACAAACCUACGCUUCUCAGAGGGACACCAACAUGUAUACCCCUGUUGACUAGAAGAAUAGCCCAGAAAAAUACACUUCACUGCUCGCGGAUCAAGUUUCCCAACAGAAGGACGAUGAUCACGAACAAAACAAGUACUGCCAAACAACUUUGAGGGAACAACAAACUUAGUUUCUCCGUAUACUAGCUCACACGGCGAUUUCAUGCCUAGUAUUCUUGAUGGUGUCCGGUUGAUCAGGUAUGUGGCUGUCAUAACUGCUUCACUCCACAAGAACUUGGGCACAUUCAUUGUAAACAUCAAUGACCGAGCAACCUCAAGAAUAUGUCGAUUCUUCCUUUCUGCCACUCCAUUCUGAGGAGGGGUGUCUGGGCAUGAUGUUUGAUGAAGAAUACCUUGAUCAGACAAGAAGGCCCCAAAGGUGUUGUUCACAUACUCUAUACCAUUGUCAGUCCUGAUCACCUGCACCUGCACCUGAAAUUGAUUCUUCAUGAAGGCAUGGAAAUUCUGAAAACAGCUAAACACCUCAUCUUUGUGACGCAUCAAAUAAAGCCAAGUCAUACGAGAAUAGCAAUCGAUGAAUGUAACAAAGUACUUCAUUCCAUUCAUUGACACAACUGGGCAAGUCCAUACAUCCGAAUGAAUCAACACAAACAGGGAUAUGCUUCUAAGCCCCUUACUCACAUAUGAGGCUCUUGUGUGUUUGGCAUAUUCACAAGCAUCACAUGUCAACUUGCCCUUGCCUAUCCCACACAUAACAUCCGGAAAGAUUCUACUCAUCUUAUCAAAAGAUAUAUGCCCCAUCCUACAGUGAUGGAUCAUCACCUCCUUCUCCUUGUCCUCCAUGGUCGCAGCACACACCAAGUUCGGCUGCACCUCCUGGUCCAUGUACCAGAGCCCCCUAUGCCUGGUGCCAGUCCCAACCAUCUGCCUCGUCUGUCGCUCCUGAAUCACGCAACCGAAUUUGUCAAGGAUCACACGACAGUCUAUGUCAUCAACGAGAGCACUGAAAGAUACCAAAUUGACAGGACAAGCUGGCACAUGUAAAACUGAGGAUAGGGAGAUGGUUGGAGUGCACUUUACUGUACCAAUCCCUAUGACAGGCUGUUUUGUGCCAUCAGCCGUUUGUAUAGUGCCCGUGUGAGAAGGGGGAUGCUUAUUGUAAGACUCGAACACACAGGAUUUACUAGCAACAUGCUUAGAUGCUCCAGAGUCAAGAACCCACUCUGGAGCACUUUCAUUAGUAGCAAGAGAUGCUCUUUCCAAAUUACCUUCAUCAGUGGAGGCCCAGUGAGCAAAGUGACCAUAGGCAGCAUCAUCAACAUCCUUGCCUUUUGAUGUCCCCAUGUCUCCUGCAACGGCCAUGUGAGCCCUCUGACCCCCCGAGUGUCCUGAGUAGCCACCUCUGCCCCUAGAAGCCUGACCCCGUGAGGUCUGUGAGUAUCCACCUCUGCCUCUAGCACUCCUGCCUCUGCCAGUUCCCCCUCUGUUGUAUCCCCUGCCUCUGCCACGAGUUGGACAUUCCCUCUUCCAGUGUCCCGCCUCCCCACAGAUAUGACAUUUGUUGGGAUCUCCCCACUCCAUGCGCUCAGUGGCUGCAAAUGUCGAAGCUGGCACAACCUUCACGUCUGCAUGCUCAAGAGAUAGGCGCACCUCCUCUUGAGUCAUCGCUGCAAUAGCCUCGGCAAUGGUAGGCAGACUAGGUGCAUCAGGGAAGCCUUCCUGCCAUCAAAGCAACCUUUGAGGCCAGCCAAAAGUUUCAGCACAUGUCUCCGUGCCAUCCAUUUGUGCCCUGACUCGAUUGAAGCGGCAUCAUAGAGUUCCAAAGGGUCGCAGUUAUCCUGGUCUGCCCAUAGAGCCUGCAGUUCUGCCACGUAUGCCAUCACUGACAUGUCAUCAUCUUGGCGCAGCAACCUAAUCUUGUCCUCAAUCUGAGCAAUGAGCAUGACAUUGCCCUUGCCAGAGUACUGGGUGUACAGAAUCUUCCAUAUCUCUGCAGGUGUGGAUAGCCCCUCCACGGAGCGUCCAAUGGAGGGCACCACGGAGUUCAACAACCACACCAUAAGUACGGAGUGGAUGACCUUCCACCUCUUUCCCUCUGCACUACACUUGUCUCCUGGUUCUGCAACGGUGCCCAGCAAAUGUCCAUCAAGCUCCUUCUGCUCCACAGCCCACAAAGCCCUCCUGGACCAACUCAAAUAAUUUGUCGCCCCCUAGCUUCAUGUCCAGAGGCGACAUUUCAAGUUUCUGAGACACUUCCUGUCGAGGAGCGUUGGCCCCAGAGUUGGACUCUGCGAGGAUCUUCGCUAGCUUCUCGAAAGCCUCAGCAAGAGCAUUUGGUUCAGCCAUCGUUGGUCGGGAUAAACAGCAGCAGCAACCCCCAGAAUAACACAGUCCAGUUACUCGACAGUAGCAGCUCUCAACGGCAGCAGCCACACCACACUCCCAGCAGCCACACCGCAGCAAGUCCCCAAAAGAAAAUUUGAAUCCACAGCCUCACGAGCAAGCUGCAGAGACAAGUAGCAACAGCAGACACACCAGCGGUCCAGCCCGAGCACGUCCUAAUCCAGAUUGAGCUCCCACAAAGUGACAGAGCCACACCUCCUCUGUCGUGCAGCCACAGCACCGCCAGCCGCCUCUGCUCCUAGAUCCGCCAGCCGCCUCUGCUCCUGGCUCCGCCGCCGCCGGCCAUGCAGCUCCCGCGCCGCCGCGUCACAGCACUGCCGCCUCGCGCGCACGCACACGGCCGCGCCCGCAGCCGCCUCUACCCGCCUGGCCCUGCCACCUCGAUGGCGAGCGACUACGCCACUGCCGCCGCCUGAUCUGAUACCAUGUUGGUACAGGAGGGGAGUACCUUCAGACGGGAUUCCUUCUUGUGUCUGGUGGCUCGCGUGGUUCACUCUUUGUGGCGGCUCUCACGGGACACAGGAGGAGGGGCACCUCUUCUAGGUCAGAUCCACUCAUGGGCUUGGGCCCAACAGACAUAUCAAGAUGGGCUAGGGCCCAUAGCGGUUCAACAAGAACAUAUUGUGGAAUAAAAUGUCAUGUGAUUCACAUAUUCAGAGCGAGAAUAGGAGGCUAGCAAAAUUUCAUGCACAGUUCGGUGCCAUAAUAAAAGCCCCAUAAUCGGAUCACUAAACCUACGGAUUGACCAUAUCUAGUGAACAAGGGUAGACAUAGUUUUGCACAAAUAAAUGGUUGCCAUACAUGCACAUGAAAGGCCCAAACAAUAUAGGGCCAACCAAAUAAAGAAGGGUUGAAUCAGCAGUCUCACCAUCGUCUCAAGGUUCUUCUACCUACGUCCUUCUCUCACCUCCUCCUGAGCAAACCCACCCCAUCCAAAUCCAUCUCAUGCAUUGAUCGAUCUCACUACUAAUCAUCAAAAACCGAAUCCCCACUCUGCCUUGUUGCUAUAAAUCCCGUUUUCCCUUUCGAUUGAGCUCCACAAUGAUCUAAUUUAUAAAUCAAUGUGGUAUCCUUGUUUUGCUUUACCACUUUUCCUCGAAACUAACCUAUAUGAAACCUGGCAUGGCCUCCAGAUCCUCACCCUUCCAGCCUUCCUGAUGAUGGCCUUCUACAUGGCCUACACAAAUCUAAUGAAGAAAUAUGAUCAAACUAAAGAACUCCAAAAAAGAUCAAAGCAUGCGAUGCAAGCAGGAGAGAUAAAUGGCACACAUCCGAGCAGCUCACCACAUUGGCAAUACAUCCGAUGAACUCACCAUAGGAGAGCUCCAUGAGGUACUUGGGGACGAAGAUGGCGGGUGGGUGCAGCCUGUAGAACCCUGGCGUGGCAACAUACAUGGGAGGCUGCUCGACAUGGCAUGCUGCGAGCACCAGCCUAUGUCGAAGGCGAGGCUCAGUGUCGGCAAGAUGAUGCAGGUCUCCAGUCAGCUGAUGGAGAUGUGUUCCACGGGGUACCCCUCGAUUUCUAGCCGCCUUAGGCUUUACGGCUGGGGAGGGGUUUGGAGGAGGAGCAGCCGUGGAGGUCACCACCUCGUCUGACUUGCUCCGAGCGGGAUCGAGGGCGAGGGAUGAGCUGUCAUCGGUGGCGGCCAUCUAGGGUACGCCAUAGCCAGGAGUGUUGGGCCUCUCAAGUGGGAAGAGGUGAGAGGGAGCCGUCCGACUCAUGAGGGAUUAAAAACCCAAUGGAGGAAAAACCUAUUUCACGCGUAAACAAAGGCAGGAGAAAAAAAUCGGAACGGAGAAGGUGGGGGAGGGAAUCAUAGGAGGGAGGAAAACCCUGGAGGCAAGGAAGCGAACGUACCAAUUCCCAUUUAAUAGUAAAGAUUGAUUGUGUUAGCAUUAUAAAGUACUCAUCUUAAAAUGAAUUAUCAGGUACUGACUAUUAAUGUACGAGAAAUUUUAUAUCGAGUUUAAUUAUACACUUCAACAUGUCUUGUUCUAAUUAUGCUUCAGAUUUUUUCAUACUUUUUAGGCAUGUCUAUUUUAUCUUGGCGAAAGCAUGUAGGUUUGUAUUUACUUGAUUUUGGUUUGAAUGCUGGAGUCUGGAUUAAAUCUAAAUGAGGAGAGCAUAAGUGACUUUCUACAGAACAUUCCAACAUCCAUUUUACCUGUUUGUAGCGUGUUUGAUUAUUCAGCAUGUAUUCACAAAAUGAAGCAAUGCAGAACUCUUACUCUACUAGGAGUUCGACGGACUUUAGAAGAAGACCUCAAACUUGAGAGGAAAGCUUUGGAUGCUUUUAAGGAUUUUAUUACCAAAGAGUUAGAUAGAGUAAGUUUUAAAUGUGCAUUAGAAACGUGUCUAUUUGGUUAGCUCAUGUGGUGUGAUGCUUGAAUUAGCUUUAGCUUAGAAAGACUUUUUUGACUGUGUUUCUCUUAUUUUUCUGUAUGAUAGGUUUUGCAAGAACCUGAAAAUGGAACAACGGAUCAUAGUAAACAGGAGGCUUGCAAGGAUGCUGGUCAGAAAACAAGUAAAGGCUCUAAAAGAGCUCGUCAAGACUCUGAUACCUCUGAACUAAAUAAUAGUCAUAGUGAGAAGGAAGACAGUGAUGAGGAUAUAAGGCCAAUAAAGAGGGGGGCUGAAAAAGGCAGAUAUAUAAAACAGCAGAUUUUUUUUGCAAAAAGAGACAAUAAAAGUGAUAAAGAUCAAGGUCAAAAUUCUGCAGAAGAUAAUCCCCUUUCAUCUGCUGUGAAUGAUAAGAAGGUUUUUAUUUGUUUUUUAUGUUGGGUUCUGGAAUACUUGUUCUCUCGAUAUAUUAGCUUUACCGUUUUUAUAUUUUGAUUUGCGCAAAAACAACAGGCAGCUCCAGCCCAUGGCAAACGAGUAGAACGUCUUAAGUCAGUAAUAAAAUCUUGUGGAAUGAGGUAAUCCUUACUUUGGAUACUUGAAUGCAAGUUGAUGCAUUUUCAAAUAACGAAUUUUACUAAUGUGUUAUCUUAAACUAGUGUGCCACCUUCUGUGUAUCGGAGGGCAAAGCAGGCCCCGGAGAGCAAGCGUGAGGCUUGUUUGAUAAAGGAGUUGGAGGAUAUACUUGAAAAGGAAGGAUUGUCUUCACACCCUUCUGAGAAAGGUCCAGUUUGUUGCUGAAUUACUUGUAAUUAUUACGUGCGGAAGCUUCUGUUAGUUGUUUCAUUUUCUAAAGUUUAUAUGGGUAGCAAUAGGAUGUUAGGUAAUCGAAUUGUUCUUUGUGGAGAACUCUGCUUGGGUGCAGGAUCCAGCGGUGGGUGCACAAGGUUGUGAAUCUGCCCACCCGAUCCGAUUCUCACUUCUACCUUGAUUUAGAAAGUGCGGUAAUGAGUCUUGUCCCUUGCAUCUUAAAACAGAAAAAGGAAAAAUUAUCGCAUGUUCGUCAAAACUAUGAACAUUAUGGAAGGUGUUUGUUCCCAAUAAUAAUAUAUACUGCAUGACUGAAUUGUGAUGGGAUAAUCUCGUUCGAACUCUUUUACCUUGGAGAACUCUCCUUGGGUGCAGGAUCAAGCGGUGGGUGCACAAGGUUGUGAACCCACGCACACAGAUCUGAGUUUCUGCCUUGACUAGCAAAGCGUUCGUUUGUUGCAAUGAAUAAAAAAUAAACCACUACGUGCUCAUGAAUCUGAGAAACAACUUAGUGUACUUCUUACCACUCAAAUGUUGCAUCAGUUAGAUGCCUUGUAUUCUUGAAUAGUAUCUAUGGCGGACCAUCUCCAGGUAAAUGAUGAGUACAUUCGAUGAGCAAGAAAUAUAUGAGAUGCGUCAAAAGCAGCAAGUAAUAAUGAUGAUCUAGAAACAGAUUCUGGCCAAAAAACAGAGCACGAAUGCUUUGCUAGGCUGAUGGUCCAUUGGUCUUCUGCAUCCGUGCCUAUACAUACCUUUAACCCGUUGUUGGUGCUCUAUUGUUCUUCUGAACAUUCUUUUCCGGAUCACUGACACAAAUCAUGUUGGCCAUCUCCACAAAACACCACCACGGAUUUGCCCAAGCAGGUUUGAGCUGAGCUCCCACCAUAUUUUCCUUUCAAUCAAGUCUUGCCUAAAUCAUCUAAAUGCCUGCAAAUAAAACAUGC